rnacentral:misc_RNA from 1 species
GAAAUGCGAUAAGUAGUGUGAAUUGCAGAAUUCAGUGAAUCAUCGAAUCUUUGAACGCACAUUGCGCCCUUUGGUAUUCCUUAGGGCAUGCCUGUUCGAGCGUCAUUUAAACCCUUCAAGCUCAGCUUGGUGUUGGGUGACUGUCCGCCGCCGCCCCCUGGGGGUGGGGUUGCGGACUCGCCCCAAAUCCAUUGGCAGCCCACGCGGUGGUGGCUUCGAGCGCAGCAGAAACGCGACCUCGAGCCCGCCCCGACGGCUCCCAGAAGCAGCCACUUCCUUUUUUUUUGACCUCGGAUCAGGUAGGGAUACCCGCUGAACUUAAGC